GAGGUAUUAUGACGGCUCUCUCCGCCCACAGUCCCCACCCACCAGGCAGGAAUAAUAGUGUGUAAGUCACUUUGCAAAUGAGGUUAUGACUAUCCAGGGAUGCAGGCUGGAAUAUACGGUAUGCAGAGAGUUUGGACAGAAGGAUGAUUUUCUGACUCCCAACCGAGAAAUAGAUCUACAGGUGGAGAGAAGAAACUUUAAAUUAAACCAAUUAUUUAUUUUUUUAAAUUUACAGUAAUGUUUUUAUGAAAGCAAGUGCAAAUGUUUUUGUGCCUUUUUUUCCCUUUACUUGAUAGUCUAAAAUAAUGUUGUUUGGCUUUGUUUUGGACUAAAAAUCUAAAUGUGUUUUCAUCAGUCGAGCAAAAGAUCUUCUUUACUUGGACAUUUGGGCUUUUGCUUGUGGAUUUCUUAGUAGGCUCUACUGCUGGCACCAUGCCUUAUCAUGAUGAGGAGUACCCCGGUCAGCCUCUGUGGCAGUCUGUGCUGCUUUUCUGCUGCAAGGGCAUGAUCGAGGGCAUCAUGGUCAUUCUGUUCUUCUGGCUUCUGGUUCAGGUCCUGUUCACCAAACAGUUAGAAGUUCAUCUCCAGAUUCUUCUUCUGGUUGGGCUGAUCACCUUUUGUCUGUGUUUGGUCCUGGGAUGCCUUCUGUGCUUGUGGAAAAGUAAAGUUUGUCGAGUGAAAGACAAAGCUCCUGUGACAUCAGCACCGGCUCCUGCUGAACCUGUGUCCUUUGCUCAGACCUCACCUCCUCCCUCAGCAGCAGCAACAGCAUCAGCAUCCAAGCAGCAGUUUGAGGAGCUGGAUGAAGAAGUGCUGGAGUACCCGUCCACUUUUAGCAGCGCUGCUACUUCAGAGGGUGAAUUUGGCUCUCUGGCAUUUUCAAAUCAAACUUCCUGUGAACAAAAGGAGCCUCCAAAGUCUUAUUUUUCCCUGCGCCGCCUCAGCACACCUCUGCUCUCAUCACCCCUUUAUAAACCAUUAGACCAGAGUCAUAGCUCGCUGCCUUCCUUUCCCAAACUGGGACUACUGGCCAAAACACGUAAGGCCCUGCAGCGACGCUGCACUGUGACUGGGGAACACAUAUCUUAUAAUGAGCACACUAGACUCACCAGACCCAGUGCUGGCUCUCCUUCUACAAAAGAAAAACCUAUCCCAUUGACCCCACUAAGCUAUGGCUCCAGUGCAAGCUGCCAACAUCCAAUAUCACCAAAACCCUGCCUCCACUUCGCUAUGGCCUUCUCUCCAGAGCAGCAAACCCUGACAGUCACUGUCCUCAGCCUCAGUGGGACGCCUCACAGGCUGGAAGAUGUGUCUGUGCAGGGCAGCCUACCGCCUCUCUGCCCCUUUCCUAUGCAAGCCGCUGUGCAGAACAGCUCCAGCUCUGAAGCCCACAGCCUGGUGCUAAUUUUUAAGGUGAGCUCUGUGGAGGAGCUCCAAAGGUGUGUACUGAAGGUAGCUUUGAAUGCACGAGAACCUGCGAGCCCCAGACACAGUUCUCUGGGUGAACUGGAAGCCGAGUGUGCAGGAAGAGACUGGACACCACAGACGCCACUUCACUUAACAAAAGAACUCAAUCGAAGCAAGUGGAAAAUAAAAAAAGGUUAUACAUCUGUGAGUGGUUUAAAUGUCCGUACUUGGAGGUAAAAGUAACUUGAUUGAUGAUUAGGAACCUUUUGGGUACAAAUUUAUACCCCCUUUGGCCACAGUUUUAGACCUCUGAACUUAAAUCCUGGAACAAUAACAAGAUGGAAAAAAAAUUACAAUUUCCAGAUUUUUUUCUGUAGUUUUAUUUAUUCAUUGCUGUGUAUGACAGAGCUAAAUGUUCAAGUUGCAAUUCCUGCCAAUUAGGAAUGGCCUCUUUGCUCUUUGAACUUUUGCCCUUUAACUGCAGAGUCUGACCUCUCAGGAUGCACUGAUGUGUAAGGGGCUUAGCUGUCCUCCACAGAUCUUCAUUUUGCUUCAUUAUCAGACUCUGUCGCACUCUGUUAAAGCCACGGUCCUCAGAGCUGAUAAUCUAGACAGCCUUGUUUCUACAUCAAUGGCAGCAGACUACCAGGUGAUCAAUCUGCACCACAAGGGAGUUUUGAUGAGCAGCAGAGAGACUAAAGCAGGGUCCUGUACUGAGUGGAACACUUCAAUCCUGCUUGACCUGCCUCCAGGAGACAUCAGUCAGCUGCCCCUCAUGCUUGAAUUUGUAAUAAACCAGAAUGCAGUCCUUUCAGAAGCCAGAGUUGUUGGCCGAGUCUUCGUUGGAGCAGAGGAUGCAGAUGCAGGACGUGCUCAUUGGAGAGACAUGUGCAGCCGGCAUUUGGAGCAGGCACGAUGUCACACUAUUCAACCUGAAACCGCAAUAGAAUAAGGCUGUUUGAUGACCAAUGGAGCGGAUUUACUGUUGAGCUCUUUGGGCAACAAAAAUGGUCAGACAUGAAGCGUGUAUGGAUAGAGUCAACCUGUGAUCUAGUUCACCUCAAGGUGCUGUCUACACUCAAGAUGAUAUACACCCUCCCAAUCUGGCAGCUUAGUUGGACUUCAAAAAUUUCCACCUAUGGCAUCCCAGUGGAGCUGCCCCCCAGCACUGCUGCUGUUUCAGGUCCUCCACCACCUCACUGUCAAAAUGGAGACUUUAGGAGGUGUUAUUAACUCAUCAGCUCUGACAGAUGUUUGAAAGGAGUGAUGAGCUUGCAGCCAAACUCUGUAUCCUGGAGUUGUCUGACUGAAUUGUUGUUUAGGUAUAUGAAAUGCCUGUGUUCAGUGAAACUCUGAGAAAUCAGUUCUUUAAACAUGGCCUUAUUUCAGCAUAUCAAUCACAACAUUCUUCUAUGCAAAGUGUAGAAAGUUGCUUUUAGUGUACGUUUCUGUAAAGCAAAGCCCAGAAUAAACCUUUUAAUUGUGCAGUCUUGUAU